rnacentral:rRNA from 1 species
AGUGGGGAAUAUUGCACAAUGGGCGCAAGCCUGAUGCAGCCAUGCCGCGUGCAUGAAGAAGGCCUUCGGGUUGUAAAGUACUUUCAGUCGUGAGGAAGGCGGCGUCGUUAAUAGCGGCGUUGUUUGACGUUAGCGACAGAAGAAGCACCGGCUAACUCCGUGCCAGCAGCCGCGGUAAUACGGAGGGUGCGAGCGUUAAUCGGAAUUACUGGGCGUAAAGCGCAUGCAGGUGGUUUGUUAAGUCAGAUGUGAAAGCCCGGGGCUCAACCUCGGAAUAGCAUUUGAAACUGGCAGACUAGAGUACUGUAGAGGGGGGUAGAAUUUCAGGUGUAGCGGUGAAAUGCGUAGAGAUCUGAAGGAAUACCGGUGGCGAAGGCGGCCCCCUGGACAGAUACUGACACUCAGAUGCGAAAGCGUGGGGAGCAAACAGGAUUAGAUACCCUGGUAGUCCACGCCGUAAGCGAUGUCUACUUGGAGGUUGUGGCCUUGAGCCGUGGCUUUCGGAGCUAACGCGUUAAGUAGACCGCCUGGGGAGUACGGUCGCAAGAUUA